CUGUAACAUUUCUAUACAAAGCUCAAAUGUAUGCAGCAACCAUUCAUGACAGCAGUAAAUGGCAGUUAUGUGGGAGGAUGUGUAUUGUGAAAGGAAAGGGCAGAUAUAAAGCGUGGAGGAAGUGAAGUGGGAUAUAUGUGGAGGACAGGCAGAGUGGAAAAGUUUUAAUCAUAUUGUUCAUGAAUUCUCUGUUAAAGCAUCACAGGCAAUGUACAAUAAAGGACUAUGUAAUUAUUGGAGUUCAGAACCUUAAUUGGUAGUAGCUGCUUUCUAUGCUUGUCACGGGUUUUGAAGAGAAGCAGUUUCCAUUUUUUUUAAAAAAAAGUACAAUAAAUAGGAUGGGCUUGACUAGGCAGAAGCUGAAAGAACUGGGUAUAAGAAUAGGACUACAAGCCAUGAGGGACAGCUGCAGCAGAGUAUGUGUGUAAAAAUCGUGAGAGUAUGGUAGGAAUGGGGACAGUGUUAGAAACUGCCAUAUAGAAGCUAGGCACCAAAAGGCUCCUUAAACCAAGGUUACAGUCACCAAAACAGGAUGUCUAGUCUUAUUUUUCAAAUGAUGGACUGACUGUGACUGAUUAUCAGUUAAAUAUCUGACUAGUUCAGAUGACAACCUUGAGCUAGGUUAAGAACUUUGGGAACUUAAAGAAGAAAAGUCAUUUUAUCCAGGGACAGUCCAUAUAUAUAUUGGCCUAUUCCUACCUCUUUUUCUUAAUGGUGACAUGGACCAUUCAUAAUGUAUGAAUGCUCUUCACAACUAUGAGCAGGGCUUUCGAAUGGGAUAAGUGAAGACAAGCUACAACAAUUAACUAUAAUGUCGUUGACUGCUCCUGCUCAGGCUGCACAGAAAAAGCAUUUUAGUUCCUGAAAUUCAUUAUGAUUGUGUAGAUAAAAUAUAACUCAGAGAAUUCUACAAGAUGUAGUAUUAGUGCAUGAAAACAGUCAAAAUCCAGUGAUCCCCAGGCCUCAACAAGCACUGCUUGCUUGCUUUAUGUUCUGAAUAUGUUUGACUGUCUGCUUAUAGGGCUGUCAUAUAAAUAACGUGCACAAUGUUUAACAGCUUUCUUUUAUCUGUGCCAGGCGGAUUGGUAAGAUUUGUGAUAGAAUUCAUGAUUGGCCAGUCUUGCUCAUAAUUGUGGAGCUCUAUCUUGCAUCUAAUAUAUAUGGUUAUUACUUUUAAUUAGCUCUUAUUUAUAUAACCCCUCAAGGAAAAUUGUUACCUAUGUUUUAUGCCCAUAAAGAUUUCAAGAUGAUGUAAGAGCCAAAGGCCACAGCAACAUGUAUGGAAGGCAUAUGAAGGCCAUAAAAUAUAUUCUUCAAAUGAUGAAAAUGAAGAAUUAUGUAUGAAACAGGAUGCCGAGAAGCUUUGUUUUUAUGCCUUAGUCUUGCCCUUGGGAACUGAAUUGGAAAAAGAAUACAAAAUGAAAAUGCUUCCUGGUGUUGGGGUAUUUGGGACUGGGAGCUCAGCUCGGGUGCUAGUGCCUCUGCUGAGAGCUGAAGGCUUCUCCAUCAAGGCACUAUGGGGGAAGACUGAAGAAGAAGCAAAGCAACUAGCUGAGGAAAUGAAUAUUUCCUUCUACACAAGUCGGACAGAUGAUGUCUUGCUGCACCAGGAUGUGGAUCUGGUUUGCAUCAACAUCCCUCCACCACUCACACGACAAAUUGCUGUGAAAGCUUUAGGUAUUGGAAAGAAUGUCAUCUGUGAGAAAGCUGCUACCUCUGUGGAUGCUUUCAGAAUGGUCACAGCUGCCAGAUACUACCCCAAGCUCAUGAGCAUUGUAGGCAAUGUCCUGCGUUUUCUACCAGCAUUCAUCAAGAUGAAGCAGUUAAUAGAAGAACACUAUGUGGGCAAUGUUCUGGUCUGUGACGUGCGAGUGUACUGGGGAAGCCUUCUCAGCCACAAGUACAACUGGAUCUGUGAUGAACUGAUGGGUGGGGGUGGCCUGCACACGAUGGGGACUUACAUUAUAGACCUCCUCACUCACCUGACAAGUCGAAAGGCAGAGAAGGUCCAUGGGUUACUGAAAACCUUUGUGAAGCAGAACUCUGCCAUCAAUGGCAUCCGCCAUGUCACAAGUGAUGAUUUUUGCUUUUUCCAAAUGCUGAUGUCAGGAGGUGUCUGUAGCACUGUGACUCUGAACUUCAACAUGCCUGGGUCAUUUGUUCAUGAGGUCAUGAUUGUAGGGUCAGCAGGACGCCUUAUAGCACGGGGGACAGAUUUAUAUGGCCAGAAGAACACUGCUCCCCAGGAAGAACUCCUGUUUGCAGACUCUUUGAAUGUCCAUGCAGGCCUUUCAGAAAAAGGAUUCAAAGACAUACCCCUUCUGUACCUCAAAGGGAUGGUGUACCUGGUGCAAGCUCUGCGUCAGUCCUUCCAAGACCAGGAAGACCAGCGAACCUGGGAUCCCAAGCCAGUUGCAACGGCGGCUUCUUUUGAAGAUGGCCUCUAUAUGCAAAGUGUAGUAGAUGCCAUUAAAAAAUCCAGCCGGUCUGGGGAUUGGGAAUCUGUGGAAGUAAUGACUGAGGAGCCAGAUGCCAAUCAAAACCUCUUGGCAAAGAGCAGUAUGAUACUCGCCGCUUCCCAUUUUGUAAGUCUUUCAUUUUCUGGUGGUGGUGGUUGUUACUGUUAUUGUUAUUGGGGGUGGGGGGAAGGUUAUGUGCUCUUCCUUCUCCUUUGAUGGAAUGCAAAUAUAGCCAGUUUAAAGAGGGGAAGAGGCACAAAUGUCCAAUUAUUAUUCUCUUUCAUCACCUUCCAGCACAGAUGAGAUAUAUUGUUACCAGACUGAGUAUAUUUGUAAAGGAUAAAAUGGAGAUAGGGUAUACCGCCAUUGUUGUUUUACAGGCAAGUGAGGAGACAAUGCAAACACUUGACACCUAAAUAUAAUAAACACUUGGGGAAAUACAAUUGGUAGCAUAAAGGAGCAUCUAGCAAAAUGACUCUGUCUUAGGCCUUGUCUCUUGGAGGAGUAGCUAAGCAUCCUGUUAGAUGUUGCUACUUGUGCUGUGGCGACAGUGGUGGGACUAGGUGAGCCGCACAGACGCUGAGCAUCUUAUCAAUGUCCACCUGAGUAGACUUGUCUACUUCAGCCUUUGCUGGAGCUCCCGAAGUGGCACUUGUCGGAAUUCUCAGCUCUUUUCCUUUGUCUUCUGCAACAAAAAAUAGUCAAUAUGAAACACUGUCCUGUCCCAUGAGCAGAAAUGCAGAAGCAAUGUGAUAGCGGACCAGUGGCUUUCUGAGCCCACAAUGGAAGCGCUUGCAAUUCUUUGACUAAAAAUAAACAGGGAGUUCUGGACACCACAUGAAAUAGCAGGUUCAUCUGUCUCAUUGGUCUCUCACAGCUCCAAGUUCAGCUGAACCCAUUGUUCUACUCCAACCCUUGUUGUGGUAUUGGAUUUGUGAGGAAGGAGCAUGUGAAGCUCCCUUUUUUGUUCCCAACCUGUUACCUUUGAGUGGAGUUAUUCUUGGUUCCAGUGGGCCUGUCUUAUUCUCUAGAGCAGAAUGCACUUCCAGCGGAGGCAGGUCACACUGUUUGUCUGAGGGGCUGUUCAUCUCUGGGUUAUCAUAGUUGAUAUAUUGGUAUAAGGGACGCAGACGCUGUGACUUUCCUACAAAUAAUGACAGUGAAUGCUGGAAGAUAGAUGGCUUCUAAGGCAAAGGCUGUUGGUGAGAUCAGAAUGAUACACACACACACACACACACACACGUUUUACCUAAACCUCAGCCCAUUCCUUUCUUGCGGAUGAUAGUCUGCCCCUACACCUUGCUUCUAUCUGCAGUUACCCCAGCAAACAGCCAGGCUUCUUGGUUCACAUUGUUGGAGCAGUGAAAACUUGUGAGGAUUCUUUUUCUGCCCCUUGAGAAUGAACUGAUGUCUUCCUAAAUAUAUCACAAGGACUUGGGAAGCAGAAUUUCCAUUCCCCCUAUAUUGAAAUGUAGUUGAAGAAGAAGUUAUUAGGAGUUCAAGCAGGCAAACAGCUGCCUGUUUCUGGUGCCUGUUGGUGCACUUUUCAAGAAGUGCUGGGAAUUAGGGAUGGUUUGGGAUCAUGGGGCUAAAGUUAGAAGUAAUAGCCAUCCUGCUUGCAGGCCAGCUCAGAAGGAUUUCCUAGUGUUUUGAAAAGCUGCAGCUAACUACCCCCUUUUUCUAUGUAAGAUAAAUAUAUAGCUUUUAAGGGACUGCUACUUCUUCAACUCUAAGCCCGCCAGCCUGUGCUGGUGAUUGUCAGUAUUAGCACUGGGAAAUAUGAUCGUUCUGUACAAGCCAGUCAUUCUUACUGUAGAUAUCACUAAGUUGAAACUAGUAUCUCAGAUGCAUCCAAUCUCUCUCUUCCCCCACCAGGAAUCAUGCCCUGAUACUGGAAAAACCUAGCUUGUAACUUCCCAUUUCUUUGCACUCACUCUCUACACCUGUAGGCUCUGGAAGCAAUGUGCCUGCUGUGCUAGUAGCUGGGACCACAGUGAUAUCCAGUGUGCUUUUCCUUUUCUUGGAUUUCUUGGACUGUUUGGGCACGAGAGAACCUUCAGUUUUGGGGCCCUCUGUCUCUGCCACCCUUGGAGGGAGCUUCUUGAAAUCGGCAUGUUGGAAAACAAGCAUUUCAGAAUCGGUUCUGUGGGGGAGAAACAAGAUGCAAGAGGGCUGAGGAGUCAAAGGGAAAGGGGUCUGGUUCCAGUGAGUGUCCCACAAUCCAGUACAGGCCUUGGGCUCCAUUUGCUAGAACAGGAGUGGGAAACUUUGGCUCCACAGACCAACUUUGGCAGGUAGAUGGGACAGUCAUCAUAAUGUCAGGGAAAGGCCAAGAAGGAUCAGAGGGCAUGGAAGGGAUGGUGUGGUGGUGCUGUUGCCACCAGCAUCUUCCCGCUGAAUUAGCUGCCUCCCUUGCAAUGCCAGGCUGCAUUAUCAGUGCUAGGACUACCAGCAAGAAUGUUCACUGGGCAGCAUUCGGAACAUAGAUGGGAGGGAGGUAUUUAUGAAGCUCCCUUAUAGUGGCCAUUGCGCCAUCUUGCCCAGUGCCAGUUAUCUAGCAUAUUGCGCAGAGGUAUCUUUCAGUUCUGCUUCCUGACAUCCUUAAACAUUUAACUUUAGAUGCAUUUAAUUUCAGAUAAAAACUGAACCCAGUUCCUUCUCCCAUGUGCUCUGCUUCUUUGCUGCGGGAAAUAUAUGGAAAUCCAUCGUGACCUACUUCACCAUUCUUGCUUUAAAGCCAUAGGUUGCUAGCCAGGCCUGAAGCACAGGAACAGAUUUCAGAUGCUUGAGUUCUGUAAACAGCUCUUGGUGCCUCUGGAUCUCUUCCUCAAACAACUUGGCAUGGAGAAGAAUCCCUUUCCCAUCUUCAUGCCACUGUGGGAAGAUGCAUAUAGUCAGUAGAGAAGUCCAAUGGCUAGAACAAAAGCCUGGUUUCAUGAUUCCUCCAGAGGUUUGUUGUUUUUUAAGCCCAGUGUUAUAGUAAACACAAAAUAAAUCGCCCUGCACCCCUGAACAAAAUCUAGAGAACUCUAGCAAGGUAGCAUCACUGGAGAGAACAAUGGGUUUCUGAUUCCGAAAGGCACAACUCGCUUCUUGCACUGAGAGAAAAAUUUCAGUGGCCACCAUAUCACAGAGAAAAAGGCUCCAGAUCCCGAUGAGGCUGUUAAAAAAAGCCUUUAAAAACCCCUAACCCAGGCACAUUUAACGCCUGGCAUAUUCUGAUGUUGCAGGAUUGGCUGCUUAGAAAAGGCAUAUCAUUUUUUUAAAAGGGCAAACCCAAUGGAGGAUGCUUUCAGCUUUAUGGGGUGACCCUGGAGUAAUUCUUUGGGGGGAACAAAGGGCCAUUAUAAGGAGGGAGCAAGAGCCAUUAUUGGGAUGGAUCAAUGAUCAUUUUCGUGUGUUACCAUCCUCGGUCAGACAGUUAUGAGCAGGUACGUUCUUAUCUCAGCACUACUAGGUGGCACACUGAAUCCCUCUGAACUAUGGCCCCUUGCCUCAGCAGUGAGGCAUCUGUUUUUCAUGCAGAAGAUCCCUGGUUCAAUCCCUGCCAUCUUCAGCUAGGACUGUGAAUGUCCCAAUAGAAACUCUGGGAAGCUGCUGCCAGUCAGUGUAGGCUCUGUUAAGCUAGAUGGACCAAUGACCUGACUCUGUAGAAGGCAGCUUCCUUUGUUCCUAUGGAAUAUCUUUGUAGGGCUGCUGCUGCUGCUUGUUAAUUCCCUGAAGCCGUUCUUAACAGAGGCAGCAUGGUGCUUCAUGUGGGUAGCUGAGAAACACCCACAGCCCUGAGAGGUAGGUUAGGCUAAGAGACUUGCGAUUUGCCCAAGGUCAGCCAGGGAGCUUCAUGUUUGAGUGGAAGGAUGUGAACCCUCGUUUCCCAGGUCCAAGUCCAACACUAACUACUGCACUAUACCCAACAUGCUUCUCUCCAGACAUUUCUGCAACAUGAUCUUCACUUUCCCCAGCUUUACGAGCCUGUGGCAUGUCCUCAGCAUCUGUAAACAGGAUAUCCUGUGCUAUCUGCAUUGCCUUCUUCUUCUCAUAACUACAGCACUCAUCCUUUACCUCCAGUGACUUGAUGGUGGGGUUAUCUAGGGCUGCAGCCAGCUGGAACAGGAAAUGAUGAGGUGCUGCCUUCCCACCUGUUUUCUUGUCAUUGGGGAUCCGGGCAGAACCAGCCAUUGACUGCAAUGGAAGAAAGAUCAGAAAUCAUACAUCUGACACAGAUAUGGCAUAGUGGCUAAGCACAUGAGCUACAAAUGUCAGAAGACCAACAGAGAGACCAACUGGCUCCAUCCAUCGGCCAGUGAAGCUGCCAUUGGUUAAGUGUUUGCUUUCCUCUCCCCUCCUCAUUCCUUUUGCCUUACCUAUAACAUCUGUAAUUAGACUACGAGUCUGCAGGGAGGGACUUUAUUAUUUUAAAAAUAAUGGUACAGCACCUAGAGGUGUUCAUAAAUAAUAGGAAAAAUAACAUCAUAAGAUUUGUCAGAUGAAAGGCCCAUCUACUAUUCCAGCAUACAGUUUUCCACAGUGGCCAAGCAGAUAUUUUCAGAACCCAACAAGCAGAAGGUGAGUGCAAUACCACUCUACUGUUUCCCAAGCAACUGGUGGGACAGUCUUCUACAACUGGGAAGCAAACUUCUCACUGGCAUCUGUUUAGCCACUGUCAGAGAAGGAUGCUGGGGCAGAGCUUUUUAAAAAUUAACUGAGUUGUUGCCACCACCAAGAAAGCCCUUUCCUCAAUACCUACCAACCUUAUAACUCUGGAAAAAAUAUGAUGGGGUAUGUGUGUGUAAAAGCUUAAAGACAAACACUUUUUAUUCUUUCUCCAUGCUGCUUGAAGUUGAGCUUUUCAUCGUUAUUAUUAUGAACUACCUUUAUAGCAGUUCGAAAGCACAUCAAAGUGCAAGUAGAUAAAUAGGUACCGCUACAGCGGGAAGGUAAACGGCGUUUCUGUGUGUUGCUCUGGUUUGCCAGAAGCGGCUUUGUCAUGCUGGCCACAUGACCUGGAAGCUGUACGCUGGCUCCCUCGGCCAAUAACGCGAGAUGAGCACCGCAACCCCAGAGUUGGUCAUGACUGGACCAGGGGUCCCUUUACCUUUAUAGCAGGAGUUAUCUGGAAGGCUCACAAAUAAAUAAAAUACAACAUCAAGAUACUAUAUAAAACAAUUCAGCAUAGUCCAUCAUUUUCGUCUGCCACUCAUCGAUUGUUGGUAAUUCCUGUAAUUUCCAUUUUUGGGCUAACAAUGUCCUAGCCGCGGUUGUCGCAUACAUAAACAAUACUUGAUCUUCUUUUCUAAUCUCUCCUCCUAUUAUUCCUAACAAAAAUGCUUCCGGUUUUUUUGGAAAAGUAUAUUUAAACAUCUUUUUCAAUUCGUUAUAUAACAUCUCCCAAAAUCUUUUUACCUUGUCGCAUGUCCACCACAUAUGAUAAAAUUCACCCUCUUUCUCUUUACAUUUCCAGCAUGCUUUAUCACUCAUUCUAUACAUUUUAGCUAAUUUAACUGGUGUUAAGUACCAUCUAUACAUCAUCUUAUAUAUAUUUUCCUUCAAGGCAGUACAUGCUGUAAAUCUUAAAGUUUGAUUCCAUAAUUUCAACCACGCGUCAUAUUCAAUAUUAUGCCCAAAAUCCUUUGCCCAUUUAAUCAUUACCUCUUUUGUCAACUCGUCUUUUGUAUACCAUUCUAACAACAAAUCAUACAUUUUUGACAGAAGCUUUGUUUUGCCUUCUAGCACUUCUAUUUGGAAUUUGGACCUUUUGUCCUCAAAUCCUAUUUUCCUAUCUUCUCUAAGGACAUAAUUUAUUUGAUGGUAUUGUAUCCAUCCUGUUAGUAUCCCUUUAAUUUCUUCAUAAGGUUUCAAUCUCCAGCCUUUUUCGGUUUUGGUCAAAAUUUCCUCAUAUGUGGCCCUUCUCCCCUCCAUAUUUACUUUCUUGACUGUUAAUACCUCUGCUGGUGAAACCCACCAUGGUGUCUUAGUCUCUAACAGCAUUUUAUUUCUUUCCCACACC